rnacentral:rRNA from 1 species
AGAGUUUGAUCCUGGCUCAGAACGAACGCUGGCGGCGUGCCUAACACAUGCAAGUCGAACGGAUUUGAGAAGCUUGCUUCUCAAGUUAGUGGCGCACGGGUGAGUAACGCGUAGAUAAUCUGCCUGAUGAUCUGGGAUAACACUUCGAAAGGGGUGCUAAUACCGGAUAAGCCCACGGAGUCUUUGGACUUUGCGGGAAAAGGGGGGGACCUUCGGGCCUUCUGUCAUCAGAUGAGUCUGCGUACCAUUAGCUAGUUGGUAGGGUAAAGGCCUACCAAGGCUACGAUGGUUAGCUGGUCUGAGAGGAUGAUCAGCCACACUGGAACAGAGACACGGUCCAGACUCCUACGGGAGGCAGCAGUGGGGAAUUUUGCGCAAUGGGCGAAAGCCUGACGCAGCAACGCCGCGUGAGUGAUGAAGGCUUUCGGGUCGUAAAGCUCUGUCGAGGGGAAAGAAGUGUAUUGUGGCUAAUAUCCAUGAUACUUGACGGUACCCCUAAAGGAAGCACCGGCUAACUCCGUGCCAGCAGCC